AUGAACGCUGGCGGCGUGCCUAAUACAUGCAAGUCGAGCGAACAGACGAGGAGCUUGCUCCUCUGACGUUAGCGGCGGACGGGUGAGUAACACGUGGAUAACCUACCUAUAAGACUGGGAUAACUUCGGGAAACCGGAGCUAAUACCGGAUAAUAUAUUGAACCGCAUGGUUCAAUAGUGAAAGACGGUUUUGCUGUCACUUAUAGAUGGAUCCGCGCCGCAUUAGCUAGUUGGUAAGGUAACGGCUUACCAAGGCAACGAUGCGUAGCCGACCUGAGAGGGUGAUCGGCCACACUGGAACUGAGACACGGUCCAGACUCCUACGGGAGGCAGCAGUAGGGAAUCUUCCGCAAUGGGCGAAAGCCUGACGGAGCAACGCCGCGUGAGUGAUGAAGGUCUUCGGAUCGUAAAACGCUGUUAUUAGGGAAGAACAAAUGUGUAAGUAACUAUGCACGUCUUGACGGUACCUAAUCAGAAAGCCACGGCUAACUACGU
rnacentral:rRNA from 1 species